rnacentral:tRNA from 1 species
GCGCCUGUGGCUCGAAGCGUGGCGCGUGGCAUGCGCCAAAGCGCGCUGCUAUCUGUGGUGGUUCCAUUCCGACCGGAUGUACC